AGCCGGCCAGGCGAUCGCGCGAGGCUUAAUCUAAGCCCGUGAGGAAAGUCCGGGCUCCAUAGGGCAGGAUGCUGGAUAACGUCCAGUGGAGGCGACUCCCAGACCAGUGCAACAGAAAUAAACCGCCGCGCCAUGGCGCGGUAAGGGUGGAAAGGCGGGGUAAGAGCCCACCGCUUCUUCGGUGACGAAGAGGGUCUAUGUAAACUCCAUCCGGAGCAAGACCGAACAGAAGGCGAUACGGCGGCCCGUCGUGCCUUCGGGUAGGUCGCGUGAGGUCCGCGGCAACGCGGAUCCAAGACAGAUGAUCGUCCAACGACAGAACCCGGCUUAUCGACCGACUUG
rnacentral:RNase_P_RNA from 1 species